CAGUAGCCGCGGUAAUACGUAGGUCCCGAGCGUUGUCCGGAUUUAUUGGGCGUAAAGCGAGCGCAGGCGGUUAGAUAAGUCUGAAGUUAAAGGCUGUGGCUUAACCAUAGUACGCUUUGGAAACUGUUUAACUUGAGUGCAAGAGGGGAGAGUGGAAUUCCAUGUGUAGCGGUGAAAUGCGUAGAUAUAUGGAGGAUCACCGGUGGCGAAAGCGGCUCUCUGGCUUGUAACUGACGCUGAGGCUCGAAAGCGUGGGGAGCAAACAGGAUUAGAUACCCCAGUAGUCCCUGUCUCUUAUACC
rnacentral:rRNA from 1 species